AUCAUUGCCAAAUAAGUCUCAACAACGAUUGGAAAAUAUUUCAAUAUUUUUAUUUCAAAAGUUUAUUUAAAUUGUGAAGUUGUUGCAUACACUGUUAUAUUUGUUAUUGCUUUGUAUUUUAAUAUAUAUAAAAACCGGAUGAGUGAAAGCACAAAGAACACAAGCGAGAUGCGAGAGCAACAAAAACAUAAAGCCAUCAAAAAAAAAGUAAAAAAUAAAUCAUAAUAAUUUGAAUUUUUGAAAAGAAAAUAGCUAAAACAUAACCACGAAGCCAAAACUAAAAAAAAUCUGAGAUUUUACAAAUGAAUAAAUUAAUUAAAAAAUACGUACAUAUAUACAUAUGUAUGUGUAUGUGUAGGAAUAAGGGCAUAAAAUUAUAAGAGCAAAUGCAUUACGCAAUAACAAUAUACGAAAGCGAAUAAAAAUCAUAAAAAAUAUUAAUUAAAUCAUAGUAAAUUACAAGUGGCCUUUUGCAACUUUCCUCGCUGUUGUAUUGGCAUCCAAGCAAAGAUUUCAAUACAUAUAUAAAAGAUUUAAUGAGCUGCAUAUUAUUUCGAAGAAUCAACAAGAAACUCCAAUUUGGUUAAAGGAAUAGUGAAUGCGUUAAACCCAACUAGUGGAUGAUGCUCACAAAGGAUAUGUUUAUGUUUAGCUGCAAUACUUCUUAUUUUUAAUUUUAUUUUUUACAUAGUAUACUUAAUUUUUAAAGAUCCAAUUAUUUCAUUUUAUAUAUUUUCAUCAAAUAUAAUAUAAAAAUAGUUAAAGAAAUUAUAUCAGCGUUACACAAUCUGCCACUAAUUAAAGUUGUUUCUGAUGUUAUAGAUCCAUUUCGUUAUAUAUUAUAACUUCUUGAUGAUAUAAAUUAAAAGGAACAUUUUCUGUUAAAAAUUGUGUGAAGAAGCCUAAGAAAGUCUGCAAAUGAUCCAACAAUAAAUCAAGCCCUAUCUCUGUUAUCCUAGUGUCUUUUGUUAUUCAUACGAUUGAAUGCACUCAAUAUUAUCAUAUUGGAUGCAGUAACCGCCUUAGACGAGCCCAUAACGAUCGCCUAUGUAGCUUUUCAAGCGCUUAAGAACCGAACUUUGCAGAAUAUGCCAAACAAUUAGCUUUUUUUUAUUACUUUAUGUUUUUAGUUUCUAUGCAUUGAUGUAACAAAGGGAUAUUUCAUGAAAUAAAAUAAUUUAAAGUGUA